rnacentral:misc_RNA from 1 species
GAAACUAAAUUUAUUGACAGACAAGUGAUUGAGAGGAGGGAGAUGCCAAAUUUAUUGAUUUCUCAUCAACACAACUGAGAAACAUAAUACAAACACAAACAUAUAUUUGUCUGAAGCUCGUGAACAUACACUCUUCACACACACAGACUCCCUCUCUGGUACACAACUCAGAAAAAAGUUAACCGGAGAUCUCAAUGGCCUUCACCUCAGGCUUCUUUACCUCGACUUUUGGCACGGUAACAGUGAGAACUCCGUCCUCCAUUGAUGCCUUCACCUCGUCCACCUUCGUGUUCUCCGGGAGACGGAAUCGCCUCAGAAACUUACCACUGCUCCUCUCCACACGGUGCCACUUGCCAUCCUUCUCCUCAUGCUCCCGGCUUCGCUCUCCGCUGAUCUGCAGCACCCUUCCCUCUACUUCAACUUUCACCUCCUCUUUCUUGAGCCCCGGGAGGUCGGCCUUGAAGACGUGAGCCUCCGGUGUCUCCUUCCAGUCG